AUGUGAACCUCGCUAAACACGCAAACAGGAAAUUCUACUAAGUGAAAGUGAAAGGAUUGGCGGGGGACUCCCCUUAUUAGUAUGCAGAAACAUUACGUCAUGUGGGUAUCAGGCUUUCUCAAGAGGAAAAUACACAGAAAACCAACCAGCAGAAGAUGGCGGCCCACCAGCAGACACUGGGCCAGACGCUCCGACAGACCAGCCUGCAAGCGAGGCCCCAGUAGAACAAGAUACCGCGCCUGCGCAAGAUGAGGCACCAGCUGAGGAGACUCCAAAGGAAUGAGCCGAUAGUUUAAGUCUCUGGGUUAGUGCUACGAAUCUUUUACUGCCGAAAAAAAUUGGUGGUGUACUUUUAAUUUUCGAACUUGAAUUACAUUUUCAAUCAUCCAACAGUAAAAUCUGCUAUAUGGAUGAUAAUAUUUUCCGCGGGGUUGAUAUAGAGUACAGAUAAAGAUGAAUACAAUCUUAAGCUAUUAUUUCAAAUUUUGCCUAUAUUAUCAAAUAUAAGGUUUAAAUCAUCUUACAUCAUUGAGAUAUGUCAGAAUAAACCUUUUAACGGCUUCACAAUGCAAAAAGGCCAUAAAAACGUUUAUAAUCCUUUUUUGGUAAGAAUUUCCGCCAUCUUCUCGGGUCCCUCAUCUUGGAUCUGCCAUCUUGGAUUCUUAUGAUUUUUGCCCAAAAAAAAUCUGGAAUUAUUACAGAAGAAAAGUAUUUGCAUGCAUGUGUAACCGUCGGAACUUGACAUUUACCGUGCGGUUACGAAAAAUGUAGAAACAAAUGCAAUACUGAAGGCAAAACUAUCAGGUUCUGACACCAGCCAAAAAGUAGGCAAAA